rnacentral:rRNA from 1 species
GACGAACGCUGGCGGCGUGCUUAACACAUGCAAGUCGAACGGAACGGCGCUGCUUUUGUCGGAUGCUCGAGUGGCGCGCGAGGGAGUAACCCGUCAGUAACCUGCCCUUUACUUUGGGGAAACUUAAUAAAACUGGGGCUAAUACCGGGUAGGCGCUCCUGCUUCAUGGUGGGGGUUGGAAAGUUUCGGCGGUUGGGGAUGGACUCGCGGUUUAUCAGCUUGUUGGUGGGGUAGUGGCUUACCAAGGCUUUGACGGGUAGCCGGCCUGGGAGGGUGACCGGCCAAAUAGGGACUGAGAUACGGGCCAUAAUCCUACGGGAGGCAGCAGGGGGGAAUAUUGCACAAUGGGCGGAAGCCUGAUGCAGCAACGCCGCGUGCGGGAGGACGGCCUUCUGGUAGUAAACCGCGUUCGCCGGUGACGAAGCGUGAGUGACGGUAACGGGUAAAGAAGCAACGGCUAACUACGUG